ACGUAGGUGGCAAGCGUUGUCCGGAUUUACUGGGCGUAAAGCGCGUGUAGGCGGUUUGGAAAGUCCGGGGUGAAAUCUUGCGGCUCAACUGCAAGGGGUCCUUGGAUACUUCCAGACUCGAGGGAGGCAGAGGAAGGUGGAAUUCCCGGUGUAGUGGUGAAAUGCGUAGAUAUCGGGAGGAACACCAGUGGCGAAGGCGGCCUUCUGGGCCUUUCCUGACGCUGAGGCGCGAAAGCGUGGGGAGCAAACCG
rnacentral:rRNA from 1 species